ensembl:lncRNA
AUUUAUUUAUACAAAAUAUAAGAUAUAUGGACUUACAGCGUUAGCUGUUAACAUUCUUGAGAGCUUUGUAGAUGGCUAAUGUCUCACACUGGACAAAAAAAAGAAAAAAGCAACAAUAUGAGGUGUAAAAGCAUUACUGUACUUUUCUCUUGUGUAUGAGAAAUAGCAAAUGUGAAAAUGGUACAUCCAAGAAACAACAAUCAUGUCCAUAACAGUCUUACCUGCAUAACACAAAGCUCCCUGCACUGAGCCACCCAGUUAUCCCUGAAAAAACUCAGUGGCAAAGAUAUUACUGUGCCCACCAGGUGCUUUCAUUCAAUCUGUCCCCUCUCCAUUUGAAAGUAGACAGCCACAGAGCUUACAGAUGUGAAGUCUGGGAUUCCUGGAAAUUAUAUAUUUCUUCUUCCUUGACACAACAGAAGGAAUGUCUAGUACCAGCCUGGAUGGGUGGGUAUUUCAACUGAGCUGUGGGAAAAAUGCAGUAGAUUGAGAGCAUGUAAAUGACACUGUGAGAACCUCCUCACUGAUCUGCCUGAAUGCUGAACUGGAGGAACUAUUGUACGUGGUGAGGUGAGAGGUUAAUUUAGUUUCCAUGGUCAGAAAGACAUGAUCUAUGACUAUCAGACUUGCAGUGGUGCUUUCAUAAUGAGCACAUGGUUGCAAGAAGCUGAAAUGUUGCCAGCUUUAAAUGAUGAACUAGAAUUCAGUGGCAUUUCACCACUCCUUGAUAGUCUUUAGAUAGAAGUUGCAGUCUUUACACACCUUUGUGCAGAGCACCAUGGGCUCAAACCACCUCAACGUAAGCAAAUAAAUACAUGUAAUUUUAAAAAAAGCAUGUAUUUUUGUACAUUUUGUAUUUAAGUUCUGCUCAUAUUCUUAAAAGUUCUGCAACUGCUGCAUUAAGAACUUCAGUUCCAACAGCACUGGUGCCUUCUGAGGGUGAUUUUCUCUUUAAGGACUACAGACAGUUCAUUUUUAAGUUAUUAUUACUCAUGCAGACAUCUUUUACUGCAUGUUUCUGUACAAGCAUCUGAAAAGCUACAAUGUCAUUCCACAUGCAAAUAAUGUCAAUCUACCAAAUUAACAGCACGCAUCUAAAAAACAACUCAUAAAUUUCAAUAUGAAAACAUCUAAAACAUGGCUUCUUUUUUUUUUUCCUUUUCAUCUUCCAGGGAGGAAAAGAGAACUAAAUGCAAAACAAUUCCUCUGUUCAAAAGUCAGGUCAGCAUGACACAAAGCAGUACAAACCAAUAAAUCCAGUAGUGCUGACAAUCCACCCUGGCAGUAUAUAUACACAGGCUUUUGAGCCGUGGAAGUUUGGAAGGGCUUUGGCCAUUGGCUCCGUGGCUGCAAGCUGACUUACCCAAAGGAAAGGGAGGUCAGCGUGCCAUGACUGGCACACGAGGCAGGAGAAGGGCACACCCACACCCUUCUGCCUUGGGGACGAGCUAACCCAGUCUGGGCAGGUGGGAGACAUGGGGAGGAUCCUGCACAUAUUACCAUAUGUAACAUUUACAGUAAUCUAGACAUCACCUUUAGCAUAUAUAUGCUAUCAGUAACUGAAACAAAGAUUUGUUUUAGAUAGGAACACAGUAAAGCAGCUGAAUUUUCCAAUAAAAUGGAAUUACUAGCAUAAUAUCAUAAAACACAGCGAAAGAGUGUUGAGGUAAUAACAAAGCAUUGACUAAUCAGAAAAUGGUCUAUGGAAAACUGGUCUAUGAAAAUACUGAGUGAAAUCUCAGUCUCUCUGUUUUAGGUGCAACACCAGAGACCACAGCUGAAAGAACAGCUGGAGCUCCAAAGCUUCAGUUUAUGGUGCACAAACAGAGCACUGAAAGACACAGGAAAUCUGUAGGAAGGUUCUCAGGCUCUGUUUGCCUCCAUCCUGGACAAACCAACAUUUGUCCUUCCAUAAAUGCUGACAAAAAGAUUGAUCGAGAUAAGAUCCUUGUCAACAAGUGUUGGACUUUUUUGUAUUUCUUUGGCCCCAGCAGGCACAACAGGGAAACAGACUGGGAUGAGAACUUGCAGUGCUGACGGUCUCCUGGGCUCUGUCCUGCAGAGGGCUGCCACUCCAGGCAGCUCUAUGUUCAAGAACAGUCCUAGAAACAACAGUAUUUGGAGCACGUGAUGCCUCUACAAAGCUGAAUGACAACAGUAGGAAGCAAAGAAAGCAGUGGACUUGAUGCUUUUGUUGGCUAGCUUCACUUAAGUAACAGCAGAAGGCAAUGCUAAAUGUCAAAAACAUGUAGAGUAUGAGGGUUUUAGGCAUAGAUGGCAUUAUUUAGUAUAAGAUAAAUAACUAAUGGUGUCACCUAGACAAGGUGCCAGAGAACAAACCAGCCUGUCUGCCGAAACAUCUUCCUUCUAGAAUGCAAAAUGCAACGUAAGUAGAUCCAGCCUUCCUAUGACUUCAAUGCAGAGAGAAGCAGUAUAAGUUGCUUUAUUUGCAUCUACUUGUAAAUAUCAGGUAAAAAAAAAAAAAAACACCUUAAUUUUUAAAGAAAUAUUAAAGCAAUGAAAUACAUUGCAAUACAAUGAAAAACUUUGCAGGUGACUCUCAGGACAAAAGUGCAGUGCUGAAAAGUCACAGUAGAUGAGAUUUCCAUGGGGAAGGAACCAAUCUGGUGUCCUGAUUACUGUUAACGGCAUCUGUGUAAUCUGCAGCAAAUGAUGACAUUGGAAUGGAGACUACUGGCUCUUUAUAAACUCUGUUCAAAGCUGAAAGAUCUCAAAUUAAAAUACAUUUGUCCAACUUCAGACAAUUAAGUAAUGAACAUAAGGUUUUCAAAUUAAAUAGCAAUCACAUUUAGCCAAACUUGCCCUGUGUUAUGCAGUGGAUAAUUUGGCAUGACCAUGAAACUCCGGGAUUUUUUUCUGUGAGUUAGAGAUCUUCAAGAAAUACCAUUUGACAACGUGGUAACCUUUGUAAACUAUUCCCAAAAGACAUCUAUUCUUCCUUUUUGGAUUAUGCCUUUGAGACAAACGUAGAGCAUUUCAAACUAAUCUGCUCUAUUUAUGGGACAGUGACACAGCAGACACUUGGACCAAAUUUUAGGGCUUGAGCAAAGGCAGACGUUGAUUUAUCUAGAGCAUUCCUAAAGCACACAUAAUGCCUGCUCCAUUUUCUGUUUUCAGUGUCAGGGUGUUCCAUGAGCCAGCAGUGUGCCCUUGUGGCCAAGAAGACCAAGGGUAUCCUGGGGUGCAUUACGAAGAGCAUGGCCAGCAGGUCGAGGGAGGUGAUCCUCCCCCUCUACUCUGCCCUGGUGAGGCCACAUCUGGAGUACUGUGUCCAGUGCUGGGCUCUCCAGUUCAAGAAAGACAAGGAAUUUCUGGAAAGAGUCCAAGGGAGGAUUACAAACACAGUUUGGGAUCUGGAGAAGCAUCUUCCUUAUGAGGAAAGUCUGAGAGAUGUGGGACUGUUCAGCCUGGAGAAGACUGAGAGGGCAUAGGGCCAGGCUCUUUUUGGUGGUUCCCAGUGACAGAACAAGGGGCAACGGGCACAAACUGGAACACAGGAAUUUCUAUCUGAACAUGAGAA